rnacentral:sRNA from 1 species
CAUUCUCUCCAAUAUAG